rnacentral:rRNA from 1 species
AUUGAACGCUGGCGGCAUGCCUUACACAUGCAAGUCGAACGGCAGCACGGACUUCGGUCUGGUGGCGAGUGGCGAACGGGUGAGUAAUGUAUCGGAACGUACCUUUCAGUGGGGGAUAACGUAGCGAAAGUUACGCUAAUACCGCAUAUUCUGUGAGCAGGAAAGCAGGGGAUCGAAAGACCUUGCGCUGAUUGAGCGGCCGAUAUCAGAUUAGCUAGUUGGUGGGGUAAAGGCCUACCAAGGCGACGAUCUGUAGCGGGUCUGAGAGGAUGAUCCGCCACACUGGAACUGAGACACGGUCCAGACUCCUACGGGAGGCAGCAGUGGGGAAUUUUGGACAAUGGGGGCAACCCUGAUCCAGCCAUGCCGCGUGAGUGAAGAAGGCCUUCGGGUUGUAAAGCUCUUUCGGCCAGGAAGAAAUCGCAUAGGCUAAUACCCUGUGUGGAUGACGGUACCGGAAUAAGAAGCACCGGCUAACUACGUG